rnacentral:rRNA from 1 species
GUGGCCCCAAGUCAGC